rnacentral:tRNA from 1 species
GGGAAUAUAGCUCAGUGGUAUAGCACUUGCCUAUCAUGCAGAAAGUCCUAGGUUCAGUCCCCUGUAUCCCCA